CGGAACAUGAUACAAACUAAAUAGUCGUCGCAGUUAUAUCAGACAAAUAUUAGAGUAACACAUUUGAGUUACUAAUAAUUACGUCAACAUGGAUUCAUAAAGCGUAAGUUAACUACUAUAAAUUAGUUUAAUGGGAGAGUCUAAUUGACUAACAUUAGUUACACAAAACAUAAUUAAUUAUUUAAAACGUGAGACAUGAUGAAACGAUAAUAUUAUCGCGUAGACGAUGCUCACCCCGUGACGACGGUGGACGACCGGAUGGGCUCGCGUCGUGAGGACGUGCUGCGCACACAACGAACGACGGCGAGGCUGCCGCUACGCCACACACAUUACGCCGGGAUUACGCAGGAUGCACGUAAGGCUGCGCCGAGGGCGCACGCGAACGAUUCGCGGGCAAGCCGUGGGCACGCUGGCCACGCGCCACGGGCGCAUGCAGCCGCGCCGGGGGCGAGAUGGCCGUGCCGGGGGCACAGCUGGCCACGCCGGGGGAAACACGGCCAUAGCCGCAGGGCUGCACACAGGGUUGGCGCGCAGGGCUCCGCCCUAGCCACCGCGCUUGGCAGCAGGUCGUAUGCGCCGAGGGCUCGCCAUGGCCGCUGGCCGAGCCGACAGGGACCGGGGGAGGCGGUUGGG
rnacentral:lncRNA from 7 species